rnacentral:ncRNA from 2 species
UCAGUCAUCCUUUCCCUCUCUAGCCCCCUACCCUAUCCCCAAGCUGAAGUGCUAGUGGCUGGUGGUGACUUCCCCAGACCUAAGCCAAUCUCUCUCUACCAGUGUCAUCCAUCAACGUCUCUGUGAACGCAGUGCAGACUGUGGUCCGCCAGGGUGAGAACAUCACCCUCAUGUGCAUUGUGAUCGGGAAUGAGGUGGUCAACUUCGAGUGGACAUACCCCCGCAAAGAAAGUGGGCGGCUGGUGGAGCCGGUGACUGACUUCCUCUUGGAUAUGCCUUACCACAUCCGCUCCAUC